AAAUCGCCUCCGAUGCUAUGCGCGUAAAGUGUUUUCCUGUGACAGUAGAGCGAGAGAAGCAGAAAUGUGACAGCCCAGUCGUGUGGCAGGAUUCAAGCAUAAAGACAGGCACCCAGGCCGGGCAGAAACAGUGGGAGACGCCGCUGUAGACCACCAGAACGGAGAGUGGAUUUGGCAUCACCACAACAAACAUCCAUUGAUGGAAAAUAAAGAGGAACCAGCAAAGAACGAAAACAGAAGUCAACCAGUGACAGUUUCGCCCAACAACUGUCUUAAACGAACCUGUCGCCUUAGAUCAACUUACGAAGCGCGAAGAUUGAAGACAGAAGAGAGAGUCUGGUCACAUUGUCUUCUCCUUCUCCCAAGUCCUUUCCUUCAGUCCUCCUUCUCCCAAGUCCUUUCCUUCAGUCCUCCUCCU